GCAAAAUUAAAUUUACUUCAAUCAAAUUAAUGAACUUAUAAUUCUUAAUUAAUAUUUUGACAUCAUAUAUUUUAAUAAUAUUAAUAAUUUAUUUAAGGGCUUAAGAAUAAUUAAUAUAAUUUUAAUAAUCUUAUGACGUGAAACUCAUACUGCUUUGUUUGGUUGAAGAGCGAAAAAUAAGAGAAGAGAGAAAUGUGAGAAAGAGAGAGAAGAAAGAAAGAUAUAACAAAUAUAAUAGAUUUGUGUAUUGUUUGGUUUGAUAGAAAGAGAAAAGAAAGAGAAGAGAAAGAUAUAUAUGAAU
rnacentral:lncRNA from 1 species